UACGAAGGGGGCUAGCGUUGCUCGGAAUGACUGGGCGUAAAGGGCGCGUAGGCGGUUCGUACAGUCAGACGUGAAAUUCCCGGGCUCAACCUGGGGGCUGCGUUUGAUACGUGCGGGCUUGAGUUCGGAAGAGGGUCGUGGAAUUCCCAGUGUAGAGGUGAAAUUCGUAGAUAUUGGGAAGAACACCGGUGGCGAAGGCGGCGACCUGGUCCGAUACUGACGUGAGGCGCGAAAGCGUGGGGGAGCAAAACAGG
rnacentral:rRNA from 1 species